rnacentral:rRNA from 1 species
CCCUUAGAUGUUCUGGGCCGCACGCGCGCUACACUGAUGCAUUCAACGAGCCUAGCCUUGACCGAGAGGUCCGGGUAAUCUUUGAAACUGCAUCGUGAUGGGGCUAGAUUAUUGCAAUUAUUAAUCUUCAACGAGGAAUGCCUAGUAAGCGUGAUUCAUCAAAUCGCGUUGAUUACGUCCCUACCCUUUGUACACACCGCCCGUCGCUCCUACCGAUUGAGUGUGUUGGUGAGGAGUUCGGAUUGGCUCUUAGUGGUGGUUCGCCACCACCUAGAGCUGAGAAGUUCUCCAAACCGCCCCACUUAGAGGAAGGAGAAGUCGUAACA